rnacentral:rRNA from 1 species
AUGUCCGCGGCACUGCCACUUCCGGUCUUCUACCUGUGCCCUCAUGGACCGAUAUUGUGGCUUAUUCCGAUGCGAACUGGGCCGGCUGCCCAGAUACGCCGCUCGACCUCGGGCCACUAUGUGUAUCUCGGCGGCACUCUGGAAAGCUGGUCCUCCAAACGGCAGGCCAUCGUCUCCCAUUUGAGCGCGGAAACAGAGUACAUGGCGGUUGCCAAUGCAGUUACAGAUUGCGUUUGGCUCAGACAUCUUCUCGACGAGCUCGGAUGUUCCCUUCCAAAGGCUAUCGUUGUCUUCUGUGACGACAUCACAACUAUGUACAUGUCCACAAAUCCAGUCCAUCAUCGGCGGACCAAACACAUCGAGUUGGAUAUUCUCUUUGUACGUGAAAAAGUGGCCCUUGUGAGCUUUGAGUUGUUCAUGUCCCAACUACUCAACAACUAG